UACAGAGGAGGCAAGCGUUGUUCGGAAUCACUGGGCUUAAAGCGCGUGUAGGCGGCGCGAUAAGUGUUCUGUGAAAUCCCACGGCUCACCCGUGGAACUGCAGGGCAUACUGUCGUGCUUGAGGCAGGUAGGGGAGUGUGGAAUUCCUGGUGGAGCGGUGAAAUGCGCAGAUAUCAGGAGGAACACCCGUAGCGAAGGCGGCACUCUGGGCCGAUUCUGACACUGAGGAGCGAAAGCGUGGGGAGCGAACAGG
rnacentral:rRNA from 1 species